ensembl:lncRNA
CUGGCACUGAACUGGGACUUUCUCUCUGGGAAUGUUGGCAGGAUGGGAAAACACUGGAAAGCUAGUUCUCUCCUUCUUAGAGUACCCAGUACCUCCGGAACCAUCUUGGACACCGUCUGACUUGAAAACGCCCCCACACUCCAAGAGAAUCAAUGUCAAUGGCUURAUGUGGUGCCGGUUUUAUUUAGAGGCAGACUUUCCGAGGCUGAUGUCCAACCCAGGCUGCCACCCCAGGGUAGGAACCUGGGUCAAAGAAUAAAGCAAGUGCCCAAAGGCCAGAGCUGAGACCGCCAAGGGGCUCCAGCACCUUUGCCUCCAGAGCACCAGAUUACUGCCGACGCCCAUCUGCGGAUCCGGAUGGCCCACUCUASCUGACUCUAGAGCUGUGCCUGGUGUGAGGCUGUGAACAGCAGAUGAGAAUGAACAGCAGAGUCAGAAACGGAACUGGCCAGCAAGCCACGGCAUCUCAACAACCUGCUGGAGGCCGAGCGUGCACAGGCUCCCUUGUCUGCGCCCUUUCCUCUGGGUAAGGCUUGAGAGCAAGUCUGGAAAGAUAAGCCAUUUACCAGGGUUUAAAACACUUGACUGUUUUUCCAGGAGGGAAAACUACAAAAGCCUUCUGUAAAGUCGGGCAGCAAUUCUACACAGCAAAUGCUGACUUGGGUGUUAGAGAUCUUCCUGUAAUCUCUGACCCCUGACCCAGUGUGCCCAGGACAACAAAGCAUUUCCUCCUAAAGGCAAUCAGGGGAGAAGCCCCUGCAUGGAGCUCUGGGCCACCUAUCCAGGAUCAGAGGCCACAGGUCUUGCUGUGGCAUUUUAUUUAUUUAUUUUUUUUUAAAUUUUUUUAAUAUUUAUUUUUUMGUUCUCAGCAGACACAACAUCUUUGUUGGUAUGUGGUGCUGAGGAUCGAACCCGGGCCGCACGCAUGUCAGGCGAGCGCGCUACCGCUUGAGCCACAUCCCCAGCCCAAYUGCUGUGGCAUUUUAGAACUACGAGGUCAAAAAAAUCACAGGCUCUCAGGAGUCAUGUACUGUGGAAAUCGCAGCCUCUAGAGACAAAGAACCUCAUGACCAUAACCCCUUGUAUCUCAAGGCUUGGGCAGAGAUUACAUUCAAUGGGAAGGGGCAAAGGUUGCUUCUAAACUGGGAAUUCCAAUGGUUUCUGGAUCCUGGGCACCUUCUAUGUGCCAGAUGUUCCUUUGUGAAGGCUUUGUGUGAAAGCUCCCAAGCCACAAGGCGGGGGUCAGGGGAAGAACAAGCUUUGGACAUCAACCCAAAUUCUACCCAUAGGCCCUUUGAGAGGGCAGCCUUCAGAGGAUCCUGUUAGGCCCACGAGCCCUGACCCCAGUGAAGCACUGAGGUCCCCAUGGUGCCAGGUUUGCAGCAGCCACCAACCAUCAAUUAUGAGAGAAAUACCAUGAUCAUCAGGCUUGCUGGUGUGCUCUGAGCAGGGAACGUGCUGGGUGAGAGGCAGCAGCCCCCAAAGCACUGCAGAGUGCCUGACUGUUUACUCCCAUUUGCAGUGUUUCUGAUAGAGGAGCAUACACACACCCCAAUCCUGGACAUGGCCUAGGAGGUGGGGAUGACACUGGCUCUGGUUGGGCAGUGGGGAUGGGUCUGAGGGCCACUUUUGGGGAUACUUGGAAAAGUGGCCAAAAGACCCACCCCAGCCCUGGAUCCAUCCACUUGCUGUUAAGGUCACUUUAGGUAUCUAUGCUAAUGGAUUUCACUGACUUUUAAAAAUAAAGGAGAGUUCUAGGGUGGCCA